rnacentral:lncRNA from 1 species
GAUAGGGGGAGAGAUUCCGCAGCAGUCACCGCACCAGACACCACCUCAGCAGCAGCAUACUCCGUCGGGCCACACAGAGACGUUGACGCCUAUCUCUGCCUUCGCACGAGGGCACACUAUGUUGGAUCCGACAGAUGAGAUUGAUUUUGACACUCAUAUGCAGGACGGUGGACUGGGUGAUUGAUUAUGUUUUUUGUACUUUUGGUUUUCUCUGUGUAUUUUUUUUGUUUUUUUUAGGUUGAUUCAGUUUUUAUUUUCUUUUGCUUUGAUGUAAUCACCUAUUAUGGGUUGUCUUAAUCUAAUGAAUUUGAUUUUGUUUACCUCCAGUUUCCUGUUUAUUUUGUUAGAUAUGUGACUAUGUC